AAAACUUGAGAGCAAAAGUACAAAUGUGGUCCCUACUACUUGGCCUUUCAAGAUCUUGGUGCCUACAGAUGCCAAGGGGACCUGAGAAAACACUGAGAUUUAAAACACCUGAACUCAGCCUUUAAGGAAAGAAGUCUGGAAGAGCUGUCAAGCUGGGAAAGUCUUAAGAAGAAUCUCUGUAUAAUGGCAUACAACAUCAUCUUUCCCUAAGGAUAGGAGAAAUGGAAAAUAUAUUACUUUUUCUCUGAGUAGCUCUUGGCAAUGCACCAUGAAUGCACUUCAUUAAAAAAAAUUCUCAGUACCUCAA